rnacentral:rRNA from 1 species
CCCGUCACAUCNCGAAAGUGGGUUGUACUAGAAGUCGCUGCGCUAACCCGCAAGGAGGCAAGCGCCCAAGGUAUGACUCAUGAUUGGGUG